UACGUGAGGGUGCGAGCGUUUAAUCGGAAUUACUGGGCGUAAAGCGUGCGCAGGCGGUUUUGUAAGACAGGGCGUGAAAUCCCCGGGCUCAACCUGGGAAUUGCGGUUGAAACUGGCGAACUAGAAUCUGGCAGAGGGGGGUGGAAUUCCACGUGUAGCAGUGAAAUGCGUAGAGAUGUGGAGGAACACCGAUGGCGAAGGCAAUCCCCUGGGCCUGUACUGACGCUCAUGCACGAAAGCGUGGGGAGCAAACAGG
rnacentral:rRNA from 1 species